rnacentral:rRNA from 1 species
CCUACGGGUGGCUGCAGUGGGGAAUAUUGCACAAUGGGCGAAAGCCUGAUGCAGCAACGCCGCGUGAGCGAUGAAGGCCUUCGGGUCGUAAAGCUCUGUCCUCAAGGAAGAUAAUGACGGUACUUGAGGAGGAAGCCCCGGCUAACUACGUGCAAGCACCCGCGGUAAUACGUAGGGGGCUAGCGUUAUCCGGAAUUACUGGGCGUAAAGGGUGCGUAGGUGGUUUCUUAAGUCAGAGGUGAAAGGGUACGGCUCAACCGUAUUAAGCCUUUGAAACUGGGGAACUUGAGUGCAGGAGAGGAGAGUGGAAUUCCUGGGGGAGCGGUGAAAGGCGUAGAUAGUAGGAGGAACACCAGUUGCGAAGGAGGCUCUCUGGACUGUAACUGACACGGAGGCACGAAAGCGUGGGGAGCAAACAGGAUGAGAUACCCUAGUAGUC